UGGGGAAUAUUGGGCAAUGGGCGCAAGCCUGACCCAGCAACGCCGCGUGAAGGAAGAAGGCUUUCGGGUUGUAAACUUCUUUUGUCAGGGACGAAUCAAUGACGGUACUUGACGAAUAAGCCACGGCUAACUACGUGCCAGCAGCCGCGGUAAUACGUAGGUGGCAAGCGUUAUCCGGAUUUACUGGGUGUAAAGGGCGUGUAGGCGGGACUGCAAGUCAGGCGUGAAAACCAGAGGCUCAACCUCUGGCCUGCGUUUGAAACUGUAGUUCUUGAGUGCUGGAGAGGCAAUCGGAAUUCCGUGUGUAGCGGUGAAAUGCGUAGAUAUACGGAGGAACACCAGUGGCGAAGGCGGAUUGCUGGACAGUAACUGACGCUGAGGCGCGAAAGCGUGGGGAGCAAACA
rnacentral:rRNA from 1 species